AGGCCACCGCCCAAUGGCGGCGCGCGCUCGGUCCUGCCGGUGGCUGGUGCCUCAGGAGCCGGGAGAGGUGGCAGCGGGCACCAUGGCCGAGAGGCCACAGUCCCCAGGCGGCGCCGUGUGCCCAGCCUCCUACCCCGACGCCCCCGCGGAGUUCCCCCCGCACCUCCAGGCCGGCGCGAUGCGGCGCCGCUUCUGGGGCGUGUUCAACUGCCUGUGCGCCGGCGCGUUCGGGGCGCUGGCCGCCGCCUCCGCCAAGCUGGCCUUCGGCAGCGAGGUGAACAUGGUCUUCUGCAUCUUAGGCAUUAUCGUGAUGGCCACCACCAAUUCUCUCAUGUGGACGUUCUUUAGCCGGGGCCUCAGUUUCUCCAUGUCUUCGGCCAUUGCAUCUGUCACGGUGACUUUUUCAAACAUCCUCAGCUCGGUGCAUGUAUCCUGUGACCCAGCAGUUGACUUUGGAAGAUUUAUGUCACAGAUGUUGUCACCCGCAAGUGCAAAGACGUGUGCGAGGAAGUGACGUAUGAGGUCUGGAACAACUUCAAGGCCCACCCAGAGGCAGUAGUGGCCGCUGAAGAGAAUGACAUCUACUUGGAUGGUUAAGAAAUCAACUCCAAGAAGCGAGGCACCGGGGCAUUCCACAGGCAGGAGGCUGCCCAGCACACCUGGAAGAGGGAUUUGCUUUGUUUUGCAGGAACUAGAAUCGUCCAUUGGGAUUUCUGAAAGUGUGAGUAUCACUGGGGCUCAGCCUCACCUUCCACCUCCCUUUCCCUGAAUUGCUCUGUCAUCAGCAUGGGGCCUGGAGGCACAGGGCAGGGACAGGUGGGGUGGGCCACUAGGCGGGACAGGAGGGCACCUGCAGCCAGAGAAGAGAGGUGCCUGGGUCCUCAGUUAAGAUGGUGUGUGUGUCCCUCUUCAGCCGGACCCUCUGUCCGUCUCUCUCCCGUGUAUUUGUGUCCCUUCUGACCACUCCCAGGCGUGGGGUGGCGCUCGUUCCCUCUGAAUCAGGAGAGGUGGACCGUGUCGUCCAGCCUCGCUGCCUGACAGGACCCUGGAGGCCCAGGCCGCACUGUCUUUUGAGGCUCCUUAUAAAUUAAAACCAAACGACCUCCAAAACAGGCUUCAGGAACUGUGGCACAUUGUAAAAGCCCGAAUUUAACAAACUGGUAUCUUUAUAUAUAUACAUAAUUUUGUUUUAAGUUUAUUUCUUUAUUUUGAGAGACAGACGCAGCGUGAGGGAGGGGCAGAGAGAGAGAAUCCCAAGCAGGCUCCGAGCUGGCAGUGCACAGCCCGACUCAGGGCUCGAGCCCACGAAGCUGUGAGAUCAUGACCUGAGCUGAAACCAAGAGUCGGACACUAAACUGACUGAGCCACCCAGAUGCCCCAUAAACUGGUGUCUUUAAUAUUCAGGAGACAGAGGGAAGCGUGACUGUGGUUUUCACCAGGCCUGAUGGAGUUUGCAAAGAACUUUCAUGCUCUGGAUAGAAGGGGGAGGAGUGUGGUCGAACCCAGGCCACAGGUUCAGAGAUUUGUGACAAGUGUCAUUUUAGUCCUGUACUUGCCUGUACAGCCUUUUUUAGAGAUUACGUCAAAAGUCUACAUUAGGGCCCUCUGCUCAUUUAUUUUUGCAUUUAUAUAGCACUUACUAUGUGUCGCGUACUGUUGUAAGUGCUUUUCAAAGAGGAACUCAGGGCACCUGGGUGGCUUUCUCGGUUGAGCAUCCGACUUCGGCUCAGGUCAUGAUCUCACACUUCGUGGGUUUGAGCCCCACAUUGGGCUCUGUGCUGACAUCUCAGAGCCUGGAGCCUGCUUCCGAUUCUGCGUUUCCCUCUCUCUCUCUCUCUCUCUCUCUCUCUCUCUCUGCCCCUCCCCCACUCAUGCUCUGCCUCUCUCACUCUCAAAAAUAAACAUAAAAGAAUAAUAAUAAAAGAGGGACUCAAGUGGCUUUGCCCUUUCUCUGGUUUCCAUAAAGUGGAAGAAUGUCCAGCCGGGACGCAAUCAGGGUUUGGGAGAGAUGCGGGCCACUCCCAGUUAAUUUCCAAAAUAGAAGAUGCCCAAAUAGGUAUAAACAUUUUAACGAUCACCAUUUCGCGGAGGAGGAAACUGAGGCACAGAACGUGAGCAUCUGUCCCAGGUCACACGGUGAGUGUGUGCACAGGCCCUCCUGGGCGCCCUGCCCGUCCGGACAAGCCACGCCCUCCAUGUGUUCUGCGAUGCUCUGGGGAGCCACACUGGGCGGGGGUGCCAGGCUGGGCUGGCAACCCCUUGUGCCACUGGGGUGGACGCUGAUGCCCACCCCUCACGCGUGCGUCAGAUGGACGUGCUCGCCAGGAAUUGGUCCGGGAGCUACCAGAGGCGCCUGG